UUUGGUUCCCGCGUUAUUAAAUAGAGAUUAUAAUUGUGUACUGACCUUAAAAAAAAAGAAGGAAGCAGUUUUCAGUUUUCAAUAAAAUCGGAAUUCCCGGGCCUCAACCAAACAUAUUUUUUGGAAAUUUGUUGGAAUUAUUUUUAAAGGGACCUUUACGGACCCACAAAGAGUGGAUUUCCA